rnacentral:rRNA from 1 species
GUCCUGGCUGUAAACGAUGAGAACUUGGUGUGGCGGGUAUCGACCCCUGCCGUGCCGAAGCUAACGCAUUAAGUUCUCCGCCUGGGGAGUACGGCCGCAAGGCUGAAACUCAAAGGAAUUGACGGGGGCCCGCACAAGCGGUGGAGCAUGUGGUUCAAUUCGACGCAACGCGAAGAACCUUACCUGGGUUUUAACUGCAGGUGACAGCCCCUGAAAGGGGGUCUUCCUUCGGGACACCUGUAGAGGUGCUGCAUGGCUGUCGU